rnacentral:rRNA from 1 species
AGUGAACGCUGGCGGCAGGCCUAAUACAUGCAAGUCGAACGGCAGCACAGUAAGCGUUUGCUUUUACGGGUGGCGAGUGGCGGACGGGUGAGGAAUACAUCGGCAUCUACUUUUUCGUGGGGGAUAUCGUAAGGCAACUUACGCUAAUACCGCAUACGUCCUACGGGUGAAAGCAGUGGAUCUUCGGACCUUGCCCGUCAGAAUGAGACGAUGUCGGAUUAGCUAGUUGGCGGGGUAAAGGCCCACCAAGGCGACGAUCCGUAGCUGGUCUGAGAGGAUGAUCAGCCACACUGGAACUGAGACACGGUCCAGACUCCUACGGGAGGCAGCAGUAGGGAAUAUUGGACAAUGGGCGCAAGCCUGAUCCAGCCAUACCGCGUGGGUGAAGAAGGCCUUCGGGUUGUAAAGCCCUGUUGUUGGGAAAGAAAAGCAGCGGGUUAAUACCCCGCUGUUCUGACGGUACCCAAAGAAUAAGCACCGGCUAACUUCGUG